GGUCAAUGAUGAGCAGUAAAAGGUCUGAUUACCUAGAAUCCUCUCCUGCGGACCUCUGGCUCCCAGCAGCCCCUGCUUUUUUCCCAUCAUGCUCUAGUGGUGCAUUGGUGGUCCCAGCAGCUGCUGACAGACACAGGAAGUGACAUCACAGUGUGAGUGUGUACAGAGAGCCUGCAGGCUCAGUGUGAUGAUGACACACAUCCAACAGAACCAAUAAGAACGCAUAGUUAGGCCAAAGGAGAGGAGGGACAUGAUCUCAAGUUUUCAACCUGAGACC